rnacentral:rRNA from 1 species
GAAACUCGCCUACAUGAAGCUGGAGUUACUAGUAAUCGCAGAUCAGAAUGCUGCGGUGAAUGCGUUCCCGGGUCUUGUACACACCGCCCGUCACACCACGGGAGUUGGAGACGCCCGAAGCCGAUUAUCUAACCUUUUGGAAGAAGGCGUCGAAGGUGGAAUCAAUAACUGGGGUGAAGUCGUAACAAGGUAGCCGUAUCGGAAGGUGCGGCUGGAUCACCUCCUUUCUAAGGAGA